GUACUCGCUUCGGCAGCACAUGUACCAAAAUUGGAACGCUAUAGAGAUUAGCAUGGCCUCUGCACAAGGAUGACAUGCAAAUUCAUGAAGCGUUCCAUUUUUUU